CGAAAGCCUGACGGAGCAACGCCGCGUGAGGGAUGAAGGCCUCUGGGCUGUAAACCUCUUUUCUCAAGGAAGAAGAUCUGACGGUACUUGAGGAAUAAGCCACGGCUAAUUCCGUGCCAGCAGCCGCGGUAAUACGGGAGUGGCAAGCGUUAUCCGGAAUUAUUGGGCGUAAAGCGUCCGCAGGCGGUUCUGUAAGUCUGCCGUUAAAGCGUGGAGCUUAACUCCAUUUCGGCGGUGGAAACUGCAGGACUUGAGUGUGGUAGGGGCAGAGGGAAUUCCCGGUGUAGCGGUGAAAUGCGAAGAUAUCGGGAAGAACACCAGUGGCGAAGGCGCUCUGCUGGGCCAUAACUGACGCUCAUGGACGAAAGCCAGGGGAGCG
rnacentral:rRNA from 1 species